rnacentral:sRNA from 1 species
AAAUAGCCCCGAUUGAAGUGAAAAUCCUCCCGAUUUUUCUUCAGGAGAUUGUAACGGAAAGCGGGAGAAAUA